rnacentral:lncRNA from 1 species
UAACCUUUUGCUUCUCCAGUUGAACAUUUGUAGCAAUAAGUCAUGCAAAUAGAGCUCUCCACCUGCUUCUUUCUGUGCCUUUUGCGAUUCUGCUUUAGUGCCACCAGAAGAUACUACCUGGGUGCAGUGGAACUGUCAUGGGACUAUAUGCAAAGUGAUCUCGGUGAGCUGCCUGUGGACGCAAGAUUUCCUCCUAGAGUGCCAAAAUCUUUUCCAUUCAACACCUCAGUCGUGUACAAAAAGACUGUGUUUGUAGAAUUCACGGAUCACCUUUUCAACAUCGCUAAGCCAAGGCCACCCUGGAUGGGUCUGCUAGGUCCUACCAUCCAGGCUGAGGUUUAUGAUACAGUGGUCAUUACACUUAAGAACAUGGCUUCCCAUCCUGUCAGUCUUCAUGCUGUUG